GUGGUGUGUGUGUGUGUGCUUGUAGCGUGUCCUCUGUUGUCAGUUACACUGGCCUUGGCCGGUCGACUUCGUCACUGGGGUGUGUUGUGUACGCCAGUUGUCAGUUACACCGGCCUUGGUCAGUCGACUUCGUCACUGGGGUUAUGGUGCUCAACUGAAUUCAAGUAAUUAUGGACCUGCAAGAUAAGUUUAAUACACUGUAGUGUGCGUCUAUGUGGUGUGUGUGUGUGCUUGUAGCGUGUCCUCUGUUGUCAGUUACACUGGCCUUGGCCGGUCGACUUCGUCACUGGGGUGUGUUGUGUACACCAGUUGUCAGUUACAUUGGCCUUGGUGAGUCGACUUCGUCACUGGGGUGUGUGUGUGUGUUUGUGGAUCAGUACGUACAAUAUGUGUACAGAAUACAAAUGUACAUUUAUAAUUUGGUUGUACAAAUCUUACAGGUUAUGGUGCUCAACUGAAUUCAAGUAAUUAUGGACCUGCAAGAUAAGUUUAAUACACUGUAGCGUGCGUCUAUGUGGUGUGUCCUCUGUUGUCAGUUACACUGGCCUUGGCCGGUCGACUUCGUCACUGGGGUGUGUUGUGUACACCAGUUGUCAGUUACACUGGCCUUGGUCAGUCGACUUCGUCGCUGGGGUGUAUUUGUGGAUUGUGUACAAGAAUAUGUGUUUGUGUUUCUGUAUGUAGUGGUUUCGUCGCUCGAUGUCUGUAUGUGUUGGCAUCUUAAUAGUCAUAAAAACAUUUGUUAUAUCAUCGUAGCUGCAUACAUAAUGAUAAUUAUCUUAUGUCCCUACAGUGGUUCUGGAAACUAUAUCGUUGUUGGUGAACUCGGAUGUAGCAUACAAUUCAUAGCUCCAUAUAUUAUCUUGUACAAAACAAUAAUUAUAGUGUUUGUCAUAAUGCAAUAUUUUGGUUUGGGUAUGAUGAUUAUGUUUGAGAAUGUA